CUGUAGCUUCCAAAUGAGAUCUAUAAAACAGAGGAAACAAAGUACACGGAGUAAGCAUUACAAUGCUUAGUAAGUUUUAAGCAGUGUCAACAGAUAACAAUCAAAUUAUAACAUAGUUGUUCGUAUUUUUAUUUCACUCUUCAUUCGGGCAUACCAUCCCUUUACUGAAUAUGCACAUCUCAUCAUAUAUAAUAGGCAGAUAAAUUCUCACUUGAUAGUGACCUCUUAUGAUCAUGGGUACAUUACAUUUUUUUUUUCCUGACUUUCUACAUUGACCAAAUGCACAAUAAUCAUAGAACAGUCUUAUUGCUUUACUCACAUGUGCAUCACAUAACGACCUUGUGAUUUAGUCUAAAUCAAACUUAAAUAUAAUCUCAAAAUACAUACCUGACCAACUUAACGCAUUGAACGUAUUUAUUACCAAUUGUUAC
rnacentral:lncRNA from 1 species